AACAUUAAACACAAAAAACUACGUUACAAUAAUGCCGAGGUUGAGCGAUAAACCCAUGAAAGCAAGGAAGCACCGAGUGAAUCUCGCCUCAGCGCCUGGAACUCGGCCGAGCGGCGCCGCUCGGGACACGCGGCCCUUUCCAGGGACCACGGCUCCGCCACACAGGUGCCCGAUGCUGCAGCAUUAGUGCUGCCUAAUACCAAGUAUUUCCUCUCUUCCACGAGUAAAUGCAGUGAAUUUUGCACAACACCAGGCCGAAAAAUCCCCAUGUGCAGCACGAGGCCUGCAACAGGGCCGGGCGCACCGCAGAACCUUCUCGACUACAGGUCCGGUUUAACCGCGCUCCGGCGCUGGUAACGAUUCCUUGCUUUUAUGUUUUUAUGUCUCAACCAUAACAUUAUUCUAAUGAAGGGCAGAAAGCUUGAGCUGAACUCCACUUCUAGAGUCCAAUAUCCAAGUGACAGCAUGGAUAGUACUGUGCUCCAGAACCACCUCCAUGAUCCUUUUCUGAGCUGUUUAUGGAGCAACAUUUUCCAUGGAAAAUCUGAAAACUGAAAUGAAUGUGAAAAGCUUGAAAAUCUGUAUGAUGCAGUACUGAUUCUUCAGUGCAGAGAAGGACACUGAGAAUUCUGCUCCACGAAUAAAUAUUUCUCUGUAAUUGAAAGCUAUGGUUAAUUGUGGGAGCAUGCAAUUUUUCACCUAGUGUGCCUUCUGCAGAGUAGGGUCUCUCUUGACUUACCCAUUUUUCUAACCUUUAAAACAAAAAAUGGGAUGAGAAACCUGCUGUAAAAAGCCAUGAUAUGCAAAGUUUUGCUGAAUAACACGACAACUACAGUUCAUAAGAGCCAGCCAUGAGGACAAAGCAUUCAGAGAGCAGCUAUUUCAGUCACUUAAGACAAAGGUAACAAUUUAUUCCUUAUUUACUCUCCUUUCUGCUAAGGUUUUGCCCUCUCACCUUGCAGGCAAGCAUCAUUGUUUUGACAGCUGGUCUUGGGGAAGCAGUUGUUUAUGAAUAGCUGUAUUGCUUCCACUCUAACCCUACACACUCUGCUAACUCAGCCCGGUGCCAGACCCCUUCCAGCACCAGGGCAGAGGCUCUUCCUUCCCCUGUCCCCCUGCAGCCUGGGUGCCCAGCAGAGCAGGGCAUCCCCUCCUGCCUUUCCUGCUCCAGCUAAUGGCACAGGACUGUCAUUUACAGCAAGGAGACAGCAAAUGGGGAGUGGAUUUCUGUGCACUGUGGAUUACUGCACAUGGGGUUAUGAGGGGACAUCAGUUCAGGACCUUUACUUUACUCUCAGGACCACAAGUAUGGCUACAGCUGCAUUAUUUUGCUCCCAGCGACCACUGAAACUUGUAGCAGGGACAGAGGAGAGAAGGAGCAGCAAAUUCCAAGCUCAGGAGACAUCUCCUGCACAAAGCUGCAGCAAACUUUGUGUCUGCCUUACAGCUUUUCUGCUCAUCUCUCAGUAGCGAAGGCAAAUGCCAAGUGCUGCUGAGGGAGCAGGGAGCCUUCAGAGUAACAUAUGGGGAAGAGCAGCUCGGGGAAAAGUAAGGACAUGUGGGUAAUUUUUUAUCAUUUGCAGCUCUGUUUUAAACUAAGAACCCUUUGUGUUGGCUGGUUACACCAAAAACAUGUAAUGGCUACAUUCAGGAGAAAAAGAGCUACUGCACUGAUACUCAGUAAUGUGAAAGCAUCUGGUUCAUUAGAAAAGAUGCACAUAAUUCAGAGGUCUUUAUGGUUCACUUACUAAAAUUACAGGAAAUUCAAAGUGCAGAGUGUUCCUGAGCCCUCAUUUCUUAAUUUUAUUAACUAGAGAAGAGACGAAGCUCUGGAAAAAGCAGGUAAAAAAGAGCAGGUCCAGUACUUUAUAUCCCUGUGCUCUUUGUAGUUCUCCUUCCCACCCCCAGUUUGAUGUUCUUUUGCUCUCCCCUGUGCUGGCUUUCCACAGCCUCUGUCCAUACACUGCUGUCCCCUGGUGUGCUGCUCUGCUCCUUCUCCACUUAAGGCACCAUCAGCAGCCAGAGAGGCUUUGGUGGCUGUCACCUCUCAGCUGGGGAUGAGAAAAGAGCCUGGAACAGCUCAGAGGCACUGAAGUGACCUAAGCCUCAAAGCCACCACAAACCCUGAGAAACUCCCUUCCCAAAGCUGUGGAAGGGCCACCACAAGCCAGCCCAAGGCUGAGCCCAGCCUGGUGUCGCAGGGUGAGGCAGCACACCCACAGCAGGGCUGAGGAUGCUGCCUGUGCUGCAGAGCAGGUGCCAUCAUUCACUGCCAUGCCCAGGACAAAGAAAACAAAAGUUCCUUUACCUCUGGGGAAAGGGGUUCUCUUCUCCUUUUCCUCCCCACCAGUGAUACCCCACAAAUAUAAACACCCACCCUCCAAAAACAAUAUACUCUCUAAAUAGAGGCAAUUUAGCUUUGAAGGUCUCCUGGCAGGGGUGGAUGGGAGACAUGGAGUUGCACAGGUCUUUCUUUCACAGCCCUUUUGUGCCAAGACACCGUUCAGAUGCAGGAUUUGCCCAAACACUCAGCCUCAGCCCGCUGCAAGAAGCGGGUUAAUUAACAAUCUACGCAGGCUGGUUAUAGCCAGCAAUAAUCAGCUCUCUGUUUUUCUUUAAGAAAAAAAAUAAGUCAGUAAUUCUUGGAACAUUUAUUAACCCCCUAGUACAGGCAAUUACUGUAAGAUAAAGGUCUGCCAGUCUUGCAUUACCAUAAAUUGCUGCAUGUUGCUUUUCUAUGGCGCAGUAAUAUCCACAACCAGUGUGAAUAAAUGCUAACAUUUGAGUUCUAAGCUUGAUUCAACCCACUUGAUCAAACAUUUUUUUAGCAGGUUUUCACUUUCAGUGGCUGCUGGGCCACAAAAAAAAAAAAUUAUUAUUAUUUUAUACAAGCCAGGAUGGUAUUUCACUGACAGACUGUUUUGUAGCUCAGUUUAAGGUAAUCUCACAUAUUUCCUAACACGCAGAAUGGAAAAGAGAAAGGGGCGGGUGGGAAGUACAAAACCCAAAGAUCGUUCCUGCUGUCUAUUAGGUUUUGUAGUCACAUACAACAUAAAAAAAUAGUAGCAAUAAAAAAAAAAAAAAAAAGGCUUUGUAAUAGACAGAACACUGCCAACCAGCUUUAAAUUGAAUUACACAGCCUGCUAAUCUUUAUGAUGAAAUAAAAUUUCUUUGAACACUACACAUUAUACUAAAAUCUGCAGUGCUUUCUCCUCAACCCCAACCCCUCUCUGCUCAAAGCAACUUCCUCCACCCCAAAACCAUUGUUCUCUCCAGCCUGGAAUGUGAUGCUCUACUAACAGAAAGACUUAUUUUAAUUAGCUAUUGCUAAUAUGGAGUGCACGGUGUGAAAAUGUAGGAGAGAAGUAUUUUUGCACUUUGUA